rnacentral:rRNA from 1 species
AGAGUUUGAUCCUGGCUCAGAUUGAACGCUGGCGGCAUGCCUUACACAUGCAAGUCGAACGGUAACAGGGAGCUUGCUCCGCUGACGAGUGGCGAACGGGUGAGUAAUAUAUCGGAACGUGCCUGGUAAUGGGGGACAACUAGUCGAAAGAUUAGCUAAUACCGCAUACGCCCUACGGGGGAAAGAGGGGGAUUCGCAAGAACCUCUCGUUAUCAGAGCGGCCGAUAUCUGAUUAGCUAGUUGGUGAGGUAAAGGCUCACCAAGGCUUCGAUCAGUAGCUGGUCUGAGAGGACGACCAGCCACACUGGGACUGAGACACGGCCCAGACUCCUACGGGAGGCAGCAGUGGGGAAUUUUGGACAAUGGGCGCAAGCCUGAUCCAGCAAUGCCGCGUGAGUGAAGAAGGCCUUCGGGUUGUAAAGCUCUUUUGUCAGGGAAGAAACGGUCUUGGUUAAUACCUGGGGGCUAAUGACGGUACCUGAAGAAUAAGCACCGGCUAACUACGUG